rnacentral:lncRNA from 1 species
UGAAGUCAGUGGAUUCGAGUGAACUGACCGUACUACAAAUCGACAUACUUGAGGAAGCUUCUUACUAAACCAAAGAAAGGGCAGCUCCAGUUGUGUUGCCGAUUCCCUUCUCCCGAGAGCUUUCACACUCUGGGAUGGGAGUCCCUUCCAAGACUUGACCAAAAGCUUAUCUCUUUCAUCUCAAUUUAACAUUUUCCGAAACGCGGCUAGACCGAGGCAGAGCAAGAG